rnacentral:misc_RNA from 1 species
CUUUCAGCAGCCAUAGUAUCAGGUGGCUGGUCUUCAAUAGUUGGGAGCUCACCUUGGACAUCACUGGUCACAACAGCAGGUUCCACAGAUGAUACCUUCCUGUGCUUCUCUAGAGCAUUAGUAAUGGCAAAGACAGCAGCAUCUCGUUUCUCUUGGAGCCUCUUCAGUGAAGCUUGUUCCUUGGCCAUCACAGCAGCUUCCCGCUUCUCCAACAUUUCUUGGGCUUUUCUUGUUUUGGUUUCAUACUCCCUUUCCUGGUCUUCCAACUCAUGAAAGCGCCUUUUCAAGGAUCUUUCAAGCCCAUGGAAAUGUUCUUCGAGUUCUUUCCAUUUCAAGUUGAGUGUUACAGCCCGGUGACUUUCAAGUUCAGCAAAUGCUUUCUGAAGCUGUUGUAUCCUAGAGGUCGUGGAGUCCAUAAGUGUUACAACUGAUUCUGGAUCUUCCAUGGCAGAAUAGCACUGGCUUGACUAGCUUGAAUACACCAAAACCCUAGAUCGAGAAAAUUAGAAAAACAAGACGACUGAAACCCUGAGUGAUUCGAGCAAAAUAUAAGACAAAAACGUCGAAAUUGAGCAGGGAAACGAUCAAUCCAUGGCGGAUUGGGUAGUGUUUGUGUGUGGCUGCUACUCUACAAUCCCUAGAGAGAGAGAGAAAGAGAGAGAGAAAGA